rnacentral:misc_RNA from 1 species
UACGAAGGGUGCUAGCGUUGUUCGGAAUAACUGGGCGUAAAGGGCGUGUAGGCGGUCUUAUGCGUCAGAUGUGAAAGUCCUGGGCUCAACCUGGGGACGGCAUUUGAUACGGUAAGACUAGAGGUUAUGAGAGGAAAGCGGAAUUGUGCGUGUAGGAGUGAAAUCCGUAGAGAUGCACAGGAACACCAGUUGCGAAGGCGGCUUUCUGGUAUUAACCUGACGCUAAGGCGCGAAAGCGUGGGGAGCAAACAGG